rnacentral:rRNA from 1 species
UACGAAGGGGGCUAGCGUUGCUCGGAAUCACUGGGCGUAAAGGGUGCGUAGGCGGAUCGUUAAGUCGGAGGUGAAAUCCUGGAGCUCAACUCCAGAACUGCCUUCGAUACUGGCGAUCUUGGAGUCCGGGAGAGGUGAGUGGAACUCCGAGUGUAGAGGUGAAAUUCGUAGAUAUUCGGAAGAACACCAGUGGCGAAGGCGGCUCACUGGCCCGGUACUGACGCUGAGGUGCGAAAGCGUGGGGAGCAAACAGG